GGGGAUUUUUCCGCAAUGGGGGGAACCCUGACGGAGCAACGCCGCGUGCGGGAGGACGGUUUGUGGACUGUAAACCGCUUUUAAUAGGGAAGAAUAAUGACGGUACCUAUUGAAUAAGCAUCGGCUAACUCCGUGCCAGCAGCCGCGGUAAUACGGAGGAUGCAAGCGUUAUCCGGAAUUAUUGGGCGUAAAGGGUCCGCAGGUGGUUAAUCAAGUCAUGCUGUUAAAGAUUCGGGCUUAACUCGGAGAAGGCGGAUGAAACUGGAUAACUAGAGUACGGUAGGGGCAGAGGGAAUUCCUAGUGUAGCGGUGAAAUGCGUAGAUAUUAGGAAGAACACCAGUGGCGAAGGCGCUCUGCUGGGCCUGUACUGACACUGAGGGACGAAAGCUAGGGGAGCGAAAGGGAUUAGAUACCCCUGUAGUCA
rnacentral:rRNA from 1 species